AGUUCAAAGCAGAUUUUUACUGAACUUCAGAAGUGUUUUCUUCCACAGAAGGAAUUAACUAAUACGUCUGCGGAAGCAUCUCAGAACAGCAAACCUAAAGAUGCAAGUAAAGAACCGGUCGAACCAGUACUUGAAGACUUGGGUGAGUGUAUUAUUUGUCGACUUGGCUUUGAAAAGUUGAAGUACCUCUACUGAUGCCAUGCCCUCUUAUGUUCCAGUAAUAUUCUUUUCCUUUAGUUUUUUCAUUAGCAAAAGGUUUGUCAAAGUAUCUAUUAGAACGUAAUAGGCUGGAUCUAGUUUGUCACAGUGUAACUUAUGCUGUAAUAUUCGGUUCAGGUAUUGUAUACGCUCACCGAAAUGAAGAUAUUGUUAAUUACGGACCCUGGAUUCAAGGAGAUAAAGAAUUGGAUACGAAUUUAAAGGGCACUGUGCAACAUUCACUCCUUCUUGUUGCCAGGAGGAGGAAAUCAGAAGCAGUAGCAGGUAGCAAAAAUACUAUAGAAAAUGCUGCUUCAUCCAAGAUGAGGAAAAAGAGCCAGUAUAGCCUCCUUGCUCAGUUCAUGGGUAUGGAGGAAGUAGAAUUCAGCAAGUGGUUACUUUCAGCGAAUCCAGAAGAACGGGAGAAAGUCCUCCGGGACUAUAAGAGGAGAAAGGAUAAGAUUCCAAAUGGCUGAUAUCUUUCCUCAUCAGGAAGGCAGAGUUUUUGUAAUGCAAAUUGUAACGCUUUGUGGAUAGAUUUCUGUCUCCGUCGCUCUGGCAGUCUUUUCAGGCCAAAUUGACUGUGGCCAUAUUCUGGCCUUCUGGCCUCAUCGUAACAUAGUGUAAGCGUCAAUCUGUCUGUAGUUAGCAAAUAUGUUGUUUGUCCAUAGAUCUUUCCCAAACUAUGGAAGUCGGUUGCUGUCAUUUGGGACUUUAGCCGUGAGUCGCUGUAUGCAUUCGUUUACUGACGUCUGGGUUAAUUCUCUUGAUCCGUUAAUCUUCUUGGAAGUUUUUUUAGAGCAUACUAAUUGAUGCACUUGGAAGACAAGGUUGAAACUCCCUCUCUCACUUGGAACUUUUUUUUUUGGGGGCAUUUUUAUAUCAACAAUGGACUCAAAAAACGGCCUGGACUUUUGGUUUGUUUGUUUGUAGAGGAAAUGGUGCUUUCAUGCACAACCAAUGGUGCCAUCUAGCCUGUUUGUUAGGAGCAAAUUGAAUAUGCCACGCCAGCGGAUUUAUUUAUUUAGCACUUCAUUCUUCAUUCUUAUAUAAGAUUUCGAUUGAAUUCAAUUCUUUUUUUUUCCCCCUUGAAAUAGUAAAAUUAUAUGUUGGAAACAAUUUAGAUAAAGAAAAUUCAUUUCUAGUGGUUGUGGAUGUUAAUCUAUUUUAACCAUUAGUAUAGUACUAAAGGGUAAAUUUGAUUACUAUCUUGUUUAUACAGGUCUAUUUCAAUCUGCCUAACUGGGAAAAUAUGUUGCUUUUGUCAAGAAGUCAAUUGACUUUUACUGACUAAACAAACCUAAUCUCCAGAGCAUACUCCAAAAUAUGGGAAACUAUGUUGCUGGAUGCCACAAAAUAUGUGUGAAGAUUGACUACUCAUAUAUAUGGUCUUAUAUUGACCUAUUACUCUGAAUUCUUUUUUACCCUUUUGGUAGCACUGUUCCAUCCUCUGUAUAGCAGGUUCAUAAACCCUCCUUAGAGAUUUAGAUACCUGAAGAUCAUGAACAAAAAUGAUGAUGACAAUUUCGAUAGAGUUGGAGAAUCAAAUCCCCCGCACUCAAUUUCGUGCCAGAACGCAAACUUCACAAUAUCAUAGCAUGCAUACAUCACUUCGAAGUCCAAAAUACGUUAAUCAGAAGGGAAUUAAUGGUGGAAGAAAUAUGAGACGCGCAUCUAAGGUCAAUAGGGCAGACCCAGCUGAUGAAGCUUAAUAGCAGCAGCAAAGAGAUAGUGGUAGCAUUCAGCCUGGCAAAGCAUUAACGAUUAGAGAAUAGGAAGAAAUGUUCAAACUUCAAAGUACAAAUUGAGAGUAUUCAGUGACGUUAAAUGCACGUUAUUCCUGCAGUAGCCCUAAUUGAAAAUGCAGAACUAGAAUUUAUCAGAGAAUGGGAAGAAAUGUUGUUCAAAGGAAAAAGUACAACAAAUUACAAGUGCCAAAUGCAGUUGAGUACAAGCCAGAAGUGAAAAUUACUACCACACAGUCCUAAUGGAAAAUGCAGAACCAAAAUAGCAUUGAAGUCGAAAUAUUGUGGUUCUAUACAACUUAGAAUCAAAGACUGGAACAUUGGUGAAAACAAGUGAAAGCCAGUUUGCACCUUGGCUAGAUGGCCUGUUAAUGAUUCAUCAAGUAUGUCCGUCUAAUCAAAGAAGAAUACUAAAUGAAGAAAUAAGUAUAGUUUGUUAUAUAAACCUGGGUUUUGGCACUAAUCCAGGUGUCUCCCCAUAUGAACACACCAUGCCUGCGAACGAGUACUGCAGUUGACUUUGGAUAACCUCUGAUCUACAGGACCAGAACGUUAAACUCUGUUAAGAUUCUGCAAUUGCAACCUAUGCAAAUAAAACUUCUAUUGUACUAUAAAUCUGCCACCGUUCUCUAGAUAAUCUAAAAUAUUUGCUGAACUAGAAAUUUGCUAGCAGAGGAUACCGCUUUAGUAAGUGACUCCACAAGCUUCCUCUCACUGGGAGCAUUCUCAAUUAUUGGCACAACAAGCUCGUCAUGGUAACCAUGCCCUUGAAUACCCUUUAUCAUCUCCAUGUUUCUGAUCUGUAUCCCAACAAUUCCUGAUGUACAAUCAACAGAACCAAAUUUAAGAUAAUAAGAAGGCAAGGUCGAUGCAGUUGUCUUUCAAUUGGAAAUGUUUUGGGAGAAAGAAAAUUACGUGGAACUCGUUCGACAAAGAAUUAAUCAUUGUCACAAGGCAAGCAUCCAAUCCAUGACUGUGAAUCACAGCUCCUGCAUUACACAUUUCAUAAACCUAUAGAACACAAGAAGUCAGGGUAACAUACAUGCAAAAAUGGCGAGUCAGGAAGAUGUCGAGGAUAAUUAAAAUGUAUCGGGAUAACAACAAAUGAGCAAGCUUAGAACUGAUGUACCUUGAGAAAUAGAGGAGCACAGUCAGUACAUUUUGGAGGGUUGUUAGGAUAUGACUUGGUAGGAGGUGGAGAAAAAAUAGAUCCACUAGAAGAAAGAACAUACAUGUCCUCUGGCGACAUCCUAUCCUUCUGUACACCUACGAUACAUUAUAUCGUAUUAGCAGAAAACAGGAGGGAGAAGGCAGCAGUCAGAGACAGAAGAAGGGAGAGAAAACCUGAAGGAGACAUGACUAUGAAUUGAUUCUGUUUGGAGACAUUAUGCUCAUGGACUUUCACGGUUACACUACCUCCAGUACCUGAAAGCCAUCCAAGUUUAUAAAAUUGCAUAGAUAGUUCUGACACUAAAGCCUUUGUUUGCUUCAAAGAGUUGCUUUGAACUCUUGGCCAAUAUGCAGCUUCAAACGCGUCUGCUGGUAUUUCAAACACUUCCGCCUGUGGAGAACUCAUGCUGGCUUCUCUGCAAUGGACAUUGAUGUUGAUUCAGCUUCUCAAGUUUCAAUCAAAAUGCUACUAUAUCCACAAGAAGCAUAUUCAAUGCAGUUUUAUGUACUAGACUAACCAUGGUUCAAAGUCGCGGUCGCGGUUGCGGUCGCAGCUUGGACCGUUCCACAUCGGUCUCGGCAUAUCGGUCGCGGUCUCGGCGAGACGCGAAUUUUUGAAAUAUUUAACAUUCUAAAAAUUGUAAAAAAUAUGAUAAACAAAAAUAAUUAAAAAAUUUGUAAAAAUAAUAAAAAUUCGAGUUGAUUCGGGAUGACUCGGAGUGACUUGGUAAGACUCGGCCGUUUCAACCCUUCACGGUGACGUCUCGGCGAGUCACGUAUCUUGGUAUCAUUUCGUCGCGGUCUCGUCUCGAACUAGGCCGAGACAGUGACGACUCGGUCUAUGUCUCGACCGAGUCGCCGAACCAUGAGACUAACUGCAUAUUUCAUGCCUAUUUGGCUAUGAAAUCAUUUUCACAUUUGCAAGAACCUGAAACAAAACUUCUGUUUCUUUUUUUCUUUUUUCCAUCUAUAACAAGUUUGCAAGGGCCGGUGCAAUAGCAAUCCAGAAAGUUUAUAUGAUUAGGAAUGUUAAAACAACCUAAAAUAAGCAAUUUUGGUCACAUUCUCAUUGACCUCGAGGGCCAAUAAAACCAGAUAGAUUUUCCUACAUGGACAGCCAUAUAUAAUUUGGCUAAUUCAAACGUCACAACCAUAUACUCGUUACAGAAAACAAAGAUAGUUACAUAAAUUUAUCCCACAAUAAGUCACUAAAUCGCUCCAAGCUUUUCAAAGAAAACUCUAUAACAUCAUCCACUAAUUAACUUUUUGUAGAACAUUAGCCUGAUCUAGCCAAAAGAUUUGAACUUGCAAUAAGUUGUCAUAAAAAAUUAAAAAAAAAGGGACACCUCUGUGAAGAAUGAAGAUAGCAGGAUUUGAGGAGGUAAUAGAUAGUAAAAUGUGAUAUGCGUAGAGAAUAUAUGAAGGUUUAAACACGUAUUGCGCAAGACUGAAAAAAUAUGUUGAGGGAAACCAGAAGAUGGGAAAGCUGUGAAGUCUAGAUAACCAAGCCAGAAUUUUUUUUUGCACAUCAAGGAUGGCCAUUAUUGUUCCAAGAAAUGUCUAAAUGCAAUGACCAAAUAGCUAAUCAAGAUACUAUAAAGCUCCAAUUCCAUGCAAUAUUCAAUGUUCCUUGAAGAUUAGAUUUUGACUUGACGUUACAAACAAUUUAUUCUAAUCUUUGAGCUUUUUUAUGCGAAUUUAAAAAGACAAGAUUACACUUUUCUUUCUUUCUUCUUCCUUUUUUUUUUUUUUUUUUUUGGGGUGUUGGGGGGGGGGGGAACGGUUUGAAUUUGCAAUGGCUAUCUCGUUGUGUAUGCAUGCACCAGAUUCAUAAACUUGUCUAACCCAUAAUUCACUCCUACCAAUUAACCAGGCAUGCAAAUAGACAAAUGGUCAUUCAUUCAGUCGUCAAAUUCACAUGUAAAAAGUUAGCAUUUUUCUUCGAGUAUGUGGGAAAUGUUAAAAUUAAUAAACAUGCUUAUGUUCUCCAUAUCAAUGGUUAGCUUCACCUAGCAGGAAUUUUUACUACUUACAUCAUAAUAUAGACCAAGUGCCGUGUACCUGUGGUAGCCCUCUGAAACAAAGUAGAAUGUUGCAAAAAGAUAGUGCCCAAUGGAGUCAUUUGGCCAUACCUUCACAGAGAUAACCCAGAUGGUUGUGAUUCAUGUCCUUUUUGCCUUGUUCUCCCUUGCGUUGUCAAGCUUCAGCAGGUAAUUGAUUUUCUUAUUGUACCUUCAGAUAUUCUGCUUGUAAGGUGCUCUAAGACAUUUGAGUUAUUAAAAGAAACUGAUCCAUUACAAGGGCCAACUGUAGCUUUCCCAGACAGUCGUUUCACUUAUGAUAUGAAUAUACAGAUUGGUUUAGGAUAGAGUGUUCAUCAAUUAAUAACAAAAGUAGUGGUAGCUUCAGGAUUCAUCAAGUGAAUUGAAUAAUAGAAAAACCUCCCAUCGUACCCAUGUUUUUUUUCCCAGACGUUUGCUUAAUAUAUAUAUAUAGACUAUUAUAUAUAAUAUAAUAGAAGGUCCUACUUUUCAGUUACUCUGUCAGGUAGAAGUUUAAAGCUUCACAUUUUAUUAGCCUCUAAUUCUUGUUUACACAUUUUUUCAUAACUUGACUGCAUCUAGACUAUAGUGCCAAAAAUUCGCACGUGCUCCUCAAAGUUUCCAGUGUAUGCUUUACUGGCUCCUGGUCAAAAAUUCCAAGGAUCUUGAAUGCUACUUGUAUGCUGAAAUAAACUUUAGCAAGUCGUUAUCUUUUCUUCUUUUCUCAAUUUUGUUGUUUUUUUGGGUUUCUUCUUCCUUAUGGGGUGCUCAAUGGGAUCGGGCACUGUUUUGGUUUAACGGAUGGAACUUCACUCUGUUGUUUUGGAAAAGAAAAGAGAAAGCUACUCUGUGGUUGAUGUUUUAAAAUAAUAUAUGGAAAUCAGAAUUUUACUUGGAAGCAAUGUUAUCUGUUAAGUUUUGGUCUUUAUUGGUCUUAGAAUAAAUUAGUUGUACUUAAAUGUUCUUGAUAUUUUGAAAUAGGACUUGCAGGUAAUGUCCCUGCAAUGAAUUGGCUCUUUGCACCAUAAUGGAUGAAGAAUCUACACUUAGCUCUAAACACUUCUAAGAGUUGAGACAGCUUGUCAUUGCCCUCUUAUUCUUUUAAUGUUUUUCUUUUGAGCAGAAUGCUGGACAUACUUGAAAAGUUCCUUAUACGCAAAGGCUGUUGCUUUUCAAGACUUGAUGGAUCUACUCCGACUGGAGUACGCCAGUCUCUUGUUGAUGACUUCAACUCAAGUCCAAGCAAACAGGUUAGUUUUGACAUUUGGAGUCAGUUUUGAUACUGUGAGACUCAAUUUUGUAAUUUGACAUCUUAAUUGCAGGUCUUCCUCAUAUCAACUCGAGCUGGUGGGCUUGGACUCAAUCUUGUUAGUGCAAAUCGUGUAGUGAUCUUUGACCCAAAUCGGAAUCCUGCCCAGGAUUUGCAGGCACAAGACAGGUCAUUCCGUUAUGGGCAGAAGCGGCAUGCCGUUGUUUUCCGUCUUCUUGCAGCCGGUUCUCUAGAGGAACUAGUUUACACCAGGCAGGUUUACAAGCAACAAUUAGCAAAUAUUGCUGUUUCCGGGAAAAUGGCGAAACGUUAUUUUGAUGGCGUGCAGGUACUGUUGCUGUUUUUCUGAUUCUGUGCACAGUUGUCUUCUUAUAUCAUAGUUGUGAUCGUUAAGACUUGGGGGUCCUUGAUCCCUCUUUUCAGGAUUGCAGAGAAUUUCAAGGAGAGCUGUUUGGCGUCUGCAAUUUGUUCCGCGACCUGUCCGAUAAGCUUUUCACCUGUGAAAUAAUUGGAAUUGCAUGAAAAGCAAGCAAUAGAGCAUGGAGAUUGUGAGAGUUCAAAGCAGAUUUUUAGUGAACUUCAGAAGUGUUUUCUUCCACAGAAGGAAUUAACAAAUACGUCUGUGGAAGCAUCUCAGAACAGCAAACCUAAAGAUGCAAGUAAAGAAACAGUCGAACCAGUACUUGAAGACUUGGGUGAGUGUAUUAUUGUCGACUUGGCUUUGAAAAGUUUCUCCUCCAGUUUUUUCAUUAGCAAAAAUGCUAUAGAAAAUGCUGCCUCAUCCAAGAUGAGGAAAAAGAGCCUGUAUAGCCUCCUUGCUCAGUUCAUGGGUAUGGAGGAAGUAGAAUUCAGCAAGUGGUUGCUUUCAGCGAAUCCAGAAGAACGGGAGAAAGUGCUCCGGGACUAUAA
rnacentral:lncRNA from 1 species